GACGAACGCUGGCGGCGUGCUUAACACAUGCAAGUCGAACGGAAAGGCCUGCUUUCCCUUGUGGAUUGCGGGUACUCGAGUGGCGAACGGGUGAGUAACACGUGAGUGAUCUGCCCCCAACUUGGGUAUAAGCCUGGGAAACUGGGUCUAAUUCCCGAUAGGACUGCAGGGUGGUGCCUGUGGUGGAAAACGAUUUUCUAGUGGUUGGGGAUGAGCUCGCGGCCUAUCAGCUUGUUGGUGGGGUAAUGGCCUACCAAGGCGGCGACGGGUAGCCGGCCUGGGAGGGUGGACGGCCACAUUGGGACUGAGAUACGGCCCAGACUCCUACGGAGGCAGCAGUGGGGAAUAUUGCACAAUGGGCGGAAGCCUGAUGCAGCGACGCCGCGUGGGGGAUGACGGCCUUCGGGUUGUAAACUCCUUUCGACCGCGAGGAAGCCACCUGGUUGGAAGGGUGGUGACGGUAGUGGUAGAAGAAGCACCGGCUAACUACGUG
rnacentral:rRNA from 1 species